rnacentral:rRNA from 1 species
GACGUAGGGCGCAAGCGUUGUCCGGAUUUAUUGGGCGUAAAGAGCUCGUAGGCGGUCUGUCGCGUCUGCUGUGAAAACUCGGGGCUUAACCCCGGGCCUGCAGUGGGUACGGGCAGACUAGAGUGCGGUAGGGGAGACUGGAAUUCCUGGUGUAGCGGUGAAAUGCGCAGAUAUCAGGAGGAACACCGGUGGCGAAGGCGGGUCUCUGGGCCGUAACUGACGCUGAGGAGCGAAAGCAUGGGGAGCGAACAGG